UGGAUGGUUGCUCUUUGAGCCUGGUAACGU
rnacentral:piRNA from 1 species